GCACCGGUAGCUCAGCUGGAUAGAGCAACUGGCUACGAACCAGUAGGUCGGGGGUUCGACUCCCUCCCGGUGCA
rnacentral:tRNA from 2 species